GAAGCAUGUGAAUUAUGAUUAAUGCCGUUGUUUAAACAUGAGCAGGAAAGAAUACAUUUUCCAGUAACCCUUUCCAAUCGAACGAAAUUUUUAUUUGUAUUACUUCGUUAUUAGAUGGAUAGCUCCAAAUGAAUUUAUUACAGAUUACAUAGAGUUAUAGAACCAUUUCCAAAUCAUCUUUUUAUUCAUGCACAAGGCUAUAGGUAAUAUUCAUUUAUAUCUCUCACUAAAGAAGACUAAUUUCUUAAACCAGAAGAUUUCUGCAUAUAAUGUGUGUUGUCCCCAUCUUUUCUAUUUUGGUGCUUUGAAAUAAAUGAAAUCUAGUUGAUAGUUCUUUUGACGUGCAAGGUUAGCUCUUCGUUGCCGAAUCUUCUUUCUGAAAGCUGCCUCAAAUGAAGGUAUGCAUUUGUAUGAAGCAUACCGGUGUGGGAAAAUGAUAGUUCCAAAUCUGUUUGUUGAUGUCAAACCGAUAUGGGGAAAUUCCUCCUAGUUUUAUGGAACUCCUUAUGUCU
rnacentral:misc_RNA from 1 species